UGUGGAAGGGUGGCAGGUUUUUCUAGGAAGACAUUGCCUGCCAGCUUGAAACAUGUAAAAUUGCUGGAAUUUGCAUCAAAAUAUGACAGCUCUUCUCUGAUGAAGUGUGACAUGAAGAAUCCAUAAAGAGCCCUUGGCAGAAGUGUAUGACUGCAGUUAAACAGCACCUCCAGAACAGAUAUAUGAUUGCAGUGACUCCUGAGUUGAGAAUACAUACAGGAGACAGAUACACAUAUUUUCUUAACUCUACAACCAAAGUUAUGCAAUGAAUAGUAUGACUUAAGCAUUAUUCUGAUUUCAUUCUGAUUGCUCUUUUAGACACAGAUAGGAGCUGAGGUAUAAAAAAUACUGAUUUGUUGAAUGUCUAGUAAACUUUAAGAAAACUUAAAAAAAUAUCAGCACAACUGUAAGUGUGAUAAAUUCUAGACUUUUUGGCCCAUGUACCACUUUUCCAAAUAGCAUAUGGGAAGUCCAAAGUGUUCAGUCAAGUGGAAAGCUUUAGAAAACCAAAUAUUCUCAAGAAGUAAUGCAAUUUUUCAUCCCUGCAUACAGAGGCAACAUUUGACAGUAGGAAAAUCUGGUAUUUAUGGCAAUGUGUAAAUCUGUGUUGGUUAUACAGACACCAAAUAUGUGGCUUAGCCAGACAGCCAUGGAAAGAAUUGCUCUGCAAAGAGACAGCCAGGUAUGUGGCUGUGUUCUGAGCCACCUCUGCCCAGUGACCUUUUUCUGGCAGCCUCCUUUUCUCUGGAUGCAAAAGGAAAACUACAAAUUCAUUUUCAGAGGGACUAUGGCAAAGACCUAUGGGAGACAACAGUCCUUUCAUCUGCCUCCCUGUCUCAGGGCUCACUUACCAGCUUUGAUUAACUGCUGCUGAAAUUUGUCCUAACUAGCUCAUUUCCCUUUCCCCCCACUUAAAUGUAUGUGUUAAAUCAUCAACAAGUCUGCAUUCUAUUCUAAGAAUUACUUUCCUGCAGAUUUCCCUAUGGAGAACUCACAUGUAUCUUGCAGGGAGAAGUGUGUUGAUGUCUGACACAUUACAUUUUCUUCUAUAUUUGCCCUUAGUUCGUGUACAGCAAGAGGCUAAAAAUUGUUGAGGAUAUUUGUUGCUUGUCACUCUUAUUUGUGCAUGAACAUACACAUAAAGCCCUAUGCAGAGACAUGGAAAGUAUGAAUUUUAAAACAGUGAGAAAAUGUUUUAUAUCCUUGUUUAUCCUGUAGGCACUGUGCUCUCACUUCUCUUUUGAUACCAAUGGGAAAGAGCUUAUUAAUGGGCUGGUUCAAUAGACUUGUUAAAAGAUUUUCUUUAUAAUAAAAGAAAAAACCCCAACUUUUUGAAAUUCCAUCAUUGAAUGAAAUUACAUCACUGAUUUAGUCUUUAUUUUCCAUAUGACUAAGCAUCUCAUUUUUAUACAGAAUAAAAAUUCUUGUCAAGAAAAAUUGGUCACAGUUCAGAUGUUUUCUAACAAGACAUCAGCUGCAUCAUUAGUAUGGUUUUCCUCUAAGCUGAGUAUCAGCUUAUAUGAGAAAGAAGGGAUUUGCUGAGCUCCACAUUCUUCCUCCCUCUCCUAUCUGCAUAUCGUGCUCCAUUGCUGUGGUACAUUAAUUCUCUUGUGACCCAGCCAUUCAUAAAUUAGCUCUCUCAUCAUCACUGCAGAGAGCACAGAAUUGCAAACUUCAGUGAGGGAAAGCUCUUGUAAGUCAGCCCAUGCCAUUUCCUCACCAAUCUGAGAUUGAGAUGUGCUUGUGAAGCAAUGGGGGGUACCAGUGGCACUCAGGUUCCAGAUUAUUCUGGUGGCAUAGGAGGAAACUGGGACAACCACCACUGAGAUACUUAUUUUCCUGAAGAGUCUGGACUCUUCUGUCUUCCCAGUGAAGACCUGGUAACCAUCUGUUCAGAGGUCUUUCAGUGCAGAACGACAGAAGAAGGCUCCUUAUUGUUCAGAACAUUUAAUUCUGACAAGUAUAUAUUUGACAUGUGAGAAACAAGUUAUGUAUUUGUUCUGUGUAGUUUGAAAUUAAAUACAUGAGUAUUACCUCAAAUGUUCUGAAGUUAAAUACAGUUUUGUGGCAAAUUUUGUCUUCAGGAUCUUUUUCUGGUUUAUAAGAAUCAGUCUCACACAAAUUCUAUUUGUUUCAUUUUCAAACCCAACCUUUUCCAUUUUUUCCCUGCUUAAAGCCUUGUGACAUGGUGACAGCUCAUGUAUUUACAGACACACACUCUUCUCAGAUGAUUCAGGCAGAUGAAGGUAAUUCUGUAAUCUUUUAGAGGUGAAUCUUCACACAACUAUUUGUCUUCUGAAAUACAAUCUCUCUAGUUUUUAUGUUUAGAAGUUCAUUUAAUGAAUUAUUUGUGUAUCUUGUCUACUCUUACAACUAUUAUAUCCACUGUUGUACUGUGUACUGUAUGCAGUGUGCAAAAGAGUUGGGAAUGCUAUGUUGUAUUCACACAUGCAAUGUGGAAUUUUUAGCCCAGCUUUAAGGGAAUAAACCCACAUAAUUGUC